GCCCAGCUAGCUCAGUUGGUAGAGCACAGGACUCUUAAUCCUAGGGGCAUGGGUUUAAGCCCCACUUUAGGUA
rfam:Mesocricetus auratus contig014871, whole genome shotgun sequence.